GAAUGUGAGGACAUUUGGCUGUGACAUGUGUCAUUCCUUUGAUCACCAGGGUUGACUCCGCUGAUCUGGCUGGCUAGGUGGGUGUCCUUUCCUCUGUCACCACUCUGUGUACAUCCCUCCCAAAGCUGUGUGCUGGGUCGAAGAGGAGAAACCAUUUCUGACAACAAACACCGUUUCCUUGGUCAAUGCUAACUGAGUACCUCUGUUCCUCUGCUAGAACCUCCAAAACUCUCAAAGCCAGAGGUAUUUUUCUAUGACAGUCUAAUCCAAUUAAAUUUCUAGAUACCAUAGCUUUUAAGAAAAUUCCUGAACAUGCAAAGUAGAUUUUUCU
rfam:Cavia porcellus supercont2_24 genomic scaffold, whole genome shotgun sequence.